UAAGUUUCCACCUUGGUGCGGUACGUCCCUCGCGAGUGCCGACCGCUGAGGUUGGCUUUUACCCAGUCUAGAAAGCUGGGGGAAUAAGGAGAGGGCAAGUCUGGUGUCAGCCGCCGCGGUAAUACCAGCUCUCCGAGUGGUGUGGACGUUUAUUGGGCCUAAAGCAUCCGUAGCUGGCUGAACAAGUCCCCUGUUAAACCCACCGAUUUAAUCGUUGGUCUGCGGGGGAUACUGCUCGGCUAGGGGACGAGAGAGGCAGACGGUAUUCCCGGGGUAGGGGUGAAAUCCUAUAAUCCCGAGAAGACCACCAGUGGCGAAGGCUGUCUGCUAGAACGCGCCCGACGGUGAGGGAUGAAAGCUGGGGGAGCGAACCGGAUUAGAUACCCGGGUAGUCCCAGCUGUAAACGAUGCAGACUAGGUGUUUGGACGGUCACGUGCCGUUCUAGUGCCGCAGGGAAGCUGUUAAGUCUGCCGCCUGGGGAGUACGAUCGCAAGAUUGAAACUUAAAGGAAUUGGCGGGGGAGCAC
rnacentral:rRNA from 1 species